UACGUAGGGUGCGAGCGUUAAUCGGAAUUACUGGGCGUAAAGCGUGCGCAGGCGGUUUUGUAAGACAGAUGUGAAAGCCCCGGGCUCAACCUGGGAAUGGCAUUUGGGACUGCAAGGCUUGAGUGCGGCAGAGGAGACUGGAAUUCCUGGUGUAGCAGUGAAAUGCGUAGAUAUUGGGAAGAACACCGGUGGCGAAGGCGGCGACCUGGUCCGAUACUGACGCUGAGGCGCGAAAGCGUGGGGAGCAAACAGG
rnacentral:rRNA from 1 species